CCUACGGGAGGCAGCAGUGAGGAAUAUUGGUCAAUGGCCGUAAGGCUGAACCAGCCAAGUAGCGUGAGGGCAGAUUGCCCUAUGGGUUGUAAACCUCUUUUAGGCGGGGAUAAAGGUGUCCACGUGGGGAUGUUGGCAGGUACCGCAGGAAUAAGGACGGGCUAAUUCGGUGCCAGCCGCGGCGGGAAUAGGGAAGGUCCGGGCGUUAUCCGGAUUGAUUGGGUUUAAAGGGAGCGUAGAUGGGUUGUUAAGUCAGUUGUGAAAGUUUGCGGCUCAACCGUAAAAUUGCAAUUGAUACUGGCAGUCUUGAGUACAGUUGAGGUAGGCGGAAUUCGUGGUGUAGCGGUGAAAUGCUUAGAUAUCACGAAGAACCCCGAUUGCGAAGGCAGCUUACUAAUCUGUGACUGACAUUGAUGCUCGAAAGUGUGGGUAUCAAACAGGAUUAGAUACCCCUGUAGUC
rnacentral:rRNA from 1 species